UUUUUUUUUAAGUUAUUUGAGAGGGAGCGCGGGCAGAGAGCCAGAGGGAGAGAGAAUCCCAAGUAGGCUCCAUACCAUCAGCACAGAGCCCAAAUGGGGGCUCCAGUUCACAAGUGUGAGAUACCACCUGGGCUGAAAUCAAGAGCUUAACCGACUGAACCACCCAGGUCCCCCUUCGGUUGUAGACUCUUAAUAUGAGCUAACAUCGUGGCUUUGAUGCUUUGAUUUUAUGGCCUUUCCCAGGAUUACUUUAUCGUGAGCUUAGUUUCAUCUAGGGCAGCUUUCCUACAGGUGAAAUGAAAUGACUGGCAGUCUUUGGCAGGUGGUUGGUACUUGAUAAGUGGUAGCUAUUCUCCAGAAGUUGAGUGUUAGAUACCAUCAUAUUCCUUAUCCUCAUAGAGUAGUGUGGGAACGGUUCGUGAAAUACGCAGUUGGAAAACUGGACUGGAAUAUCUAGGAAAGUAAGAGCAGUGAACAAAACCUGCCCUCAUGGGGCUUCCAUUGCAGUCGGGGAGACACAGUAAACAAAGUAAAAUACAAUAUACCAAGUGCUGAUAAGUGCUGUGGAGAAAGAGGGGUAAUGCUCGCUUUGUAGAAUGAAUUUGGAAGAGUUUUUUGGAAUCAUUUGAGAAAGAUAAGUGUUAACUCUCUUUUUUCUUACUAUUUUUUAUUUUAAAAAAAUUUUAACAUUUAUUUUUAAGAGACAGUGACAGAGGCAUAGAGAGAGGGAGAAAUAGAAUCUGAAACAGGAUCCAGGCUCUGAGCUGUCAGCAUAGAGCCUGACAUGGGGUUUGAACUGGUGAAUCGCGAGACCAUGACCUGAGUUAAAGUCAGAUGCUUCACUGAGCCACCUAGGUGCCCUCUUAUUAUUUUUUUUUUAACGUUUAUUUUAUUUUGAGAGAGAGAGAAACAGAGUGUGAGCAGGGGAGGGGCAGAGAGAGAGAGGGAGACACAGAAUCUGAAGCAGGCUGCAGGCUCUGAGCUGCCAGCACAGAACCUGACGCAGGGCUCGAACUCACGAACUGAGAGAUCAUGACCUGAGCCAAAGUCGGAUGCUUAACCGACUGAGCCACCCAGGUGCCCCUUAACUCUUCUUUAAAUGUUUAGUAGAAUUUGCUUGUGAAGCAUGUGGUCCUGGGCUUUUCUUUCUUGGGAGGUUUUUUUUUUUUUUUUAUUACAGAUUCACUUUCACUGCUAAUAAUUGGUCUGCUCAGGUUUUCUAUUUCUUCCUGAUUGAGUCUUGGAAGGCUUGGCAUGUUUGUAGGAAUUUAUCCGUUUCUUCUAAGUUGUCCAACUUGUUGGCAUAUAAUUUUCAUAAUAGUCUCUUAUAAUCCUUUGUAUUUCUGUGGUGUCAGUUGUAACUUCUAUUUGUGAUUUUGAGUUGUCUUUUUCUCGGUAAGUCUGGCUAAAGGUUUAUCAAUUUUGUUUAUCUUUUUGCAGAACUAGCUCUUAGUUUCAUUGAUCUUUUUUUAGUCCCCAUUUCACUUAUUUCUACUAUUAGUCUGUGUUUAACUUCGUUCUACUAUAAUUGUUAUUUUCUUCUUUCUACUAACUUUGGUCUUUGUUCUUUUUCUGGUUCCUUUAGGUGUAAAGUUAAGAUUCAGAUAUUUCUUGUUUCUUGAAGUGGACCUUCAUUGCUAUAAACUUUCCUCUUAGAACUGCUUUUGUUGUAUCCCAGAGAUUUUGAACAUUGUUUCCAUUUUCAUUUCUCCAUGGAUUUUUAAAUUUCCCUUUUGAUUUCUUCUUUGACCCAUGGGUUGUUCAGGAGCAUGUUGUUUAGCCUCCAUGUGUUUUUGUUUUUUUCCAUUUUUUUCCCUGUAAUUGAUUUCUGGUUUCAUACUGUUGUGAUUGGAGAAGAUGCUCUGUCUUAUUAAGUUAAUUGAGACUUGUUUUGUGGCCUAAUAUGUAAUCUGUCCUGGAGAAUGUUCCACGUACACUUGAAAAGAAUGUAUAUUCUGCUGUUUUGGGAUGGAAUAUUCUAUAUAUAUCUGCUAGGUCUGUCUGGUUUAAUGUUGUUCAAAGCCAUAUUGAUUUUUAUGUCUGGAUGCUUUAUCCAUUGAUGUAAGUGGGUUGUUAAAGUCCCCUGCUGUUAUUGUGUUACUGUCAAUUUCUCCCUUUGUGCCUAUUACUAUUUGCUCUGUAUAUGGUGCCCCUGUGUUGGGUGCAUGGAUAGAUAUUUACAGUUGUUAUAUCGUCUUGUUGGAUUAAUCUCUUUAUAUAAUGCCCUUCUUUGUCUCUUAUUAGAAUUUUUGUUUUAAAAUUUUUUUAAUGUUAAUUUAUUUUUGAGAGAGAGAGCUCUCACAUGGGUGGGGAAGGGGCAGAGAGAGAGGGAAUCUGAAGCAGGCUCCAGGUUCUGAGCUGUCAGCACAAACACCAAUGUGAGGCUUGAAUUCACUAACUACAUGAUCUUAGCCUGAGCUCAAGUUAGACAGUUAACCACCUGAGCCACCCAGGUGCCCUUUUACUGUCUUUAUUUUAAAUUCUACUUUGUCUGACAUAAGUUUGCUAUCCCAGCUUUCUUUUUGCUUCCAUUUAUGUGGGGAAUAUAUAUAUUUUUUAUAUCCCUUAACUUUCAGUUUGUAUGUGUCUUUAGGACUGAAAGAGCCUCUGGUAGGCAGCAUAUAGAUGGGUCUUGUUUUUUAUUCAUUGAGUCACCUUGUCUUUUGAUUGGAGUAUUUAGACCAUUUACAUUUAAAGUAAUAAUUGACAGGUUUAUGCUUAUCGCUGUUGUGUCAGUUGUGUUCUUAUUGUUUUUGUAGGUUUUGUUUCUUCUACUUCUCUUGUAAUUGAUGACUUUAGUGUUUUACUUGGAUUCCUUUCUUUUUAUUCUUUGUGGAUUUGUAUAGGUGUAUGGUUAGCAUGAAGUUCAUAUAUAACAUCCUAAGUAUAUAGCAGUCUAUAUUAAGUUGAUGGUUGCUUAAGUUCAAACACAUUCUAAAAGCACUACAUAAUAAACCCUCCCCCAUGUUUUAUGUGUAUAAUGUCAUAUUUUACAUCUUUUUAUUUUGUGACUAUCAGUGAAUUAAAAAAAUUUUUCUUUAAUGUUUAUUUUUGAGAUAGAGACAGAGUGUGAGCAGGGGAGGGGCAGAGAGAGAGAGGGAGACACAGAAUCUGAAGCAGGCUCCAGGCUCUGAGCUGUCAGCACAGAGCCUGACGUGGGGCUCGAACCCAUAAACAGUGAGAUUGAGCUGAACCCAUGACCUGAGCUGAAGUCGGACACUUAACUGACUGAGCCACACAGGCACCCCAAUGAAUUUUUUAUUAAUACUUAUUUAUUUUGAGAGAGAACACAAGCAGGAGGAGGAGAGGGGCAGAGAGAGGUAGAGAGAGAAUCCCAAGCACCCUUCAUGCUGUCAGCGCAGAGCCUGACAUGGGGCUUGAUUCCACGAGUUGUGAGAUCAUGACCCGAGCCAAAAUCAAGAGUUGGACAGGACACUUAACCCGCUGAGCCCCUCAGGCACCCCUCAGCAAAUUUUUUAGAUGUAAUUGAUUUUACUACUCUUGUCUUUGAACUUUCAUACCAGUUUUAUAAGUGAUUGAUUUACUACCUUUAUUGUGUUUGUUUUUACCAGUGAAGUUUUUUUCCUUUCAUAAUUUUCUUUUAGUUAUGGCCUUUUCUUUUCCACUUAAAGUCCCUUUAACAUUUCUUCUAAGGUUAGUUGAGUGGUGAUGAACUUCUUUAACUUUUGUCUGGGAAACUCUUAUUUGUCCUUCAGUUCUGAAUGAUAAUCUGGUCAGGUGGAGCAUUCUUGGUUAUAGGGUUUUUCCUUUCAGUCAAUGCUUUGCAUAUAUUGUACCACUCCUUUCUGGUCUGCACUGAUUUUGCUGGAAAAUCAGCUGAUAGCCUUUAUGGGGUUUUCUUUGUACAUAAUUAGUUGCUUAUCUCUUGCUCCUUUUAAGAUUCUGUCUUUAAUUUUUGACAUUUUGUUGUUAUUGUGUCUUGGUACGGACCUUCCUGGGGUUCAUCUUGUUUGGGACUUUCUCUGCUUCCUGAACCUAGAUGUCUGCUUUUCCCAGGUUAGAGAAGUUUUCAGCUUUAUUUCUUUAAAUAACUUUUCUGCCCCUUUCUCUCUUUUCCUUCUAGGACCCCUAUAAUGUGAAUAUUAGUACAGUUGACAUUGUCAUAUGGGUCCCUUUAACCUAUCCACAUUUUUUUCUUUUAUUUUUUAAUGUUUUUAUUUUUGAGAGAGAGUGUGAGCAGGGGAGGGGAAGGGGCAGAGAAAGAGAGAGAGAGAGAAAACACAGAAUCUGAAGCAGGCUCCAGGCUGAGCUGUCAGCAUAGAGCCAGAUGUUGGACUUGAACUCGUGAACCAUGAGAUCAUGACCUGAGCUGAAGUCAGGUGCUCAACCUACUGAGCCACCCAGGUGCCCCAUCCUCAUUUUUUCUUAUUCUUUCCUUUUGCCGUUCAGCUUGGGUGCUUUCUGUUACUUUGUCUUCCAGAUUGUUGAUCUGUUUAUCUGUAUCUUCUAAUCUGCUGAUUCCUUCUAGUGGUUUUUCAUUUCAGUUACUGUAUUUUUCAACACUGAUUGGUUCUUUCCUAGUUCUUCUUUGAGUUCUCUUAAACUCUUUCUCAAUUCCGGUGAGCAUCUUUAUGACCAUUGCUUUGAACUCUUUAUCAGGUAGAUUGCUUAUCUCCAUUUUUUUGGGUUCUCUUUCUGAAGUUUUGUUCUUUUCUUUGGAAUGUAUUCUUUUUUCUCAUCUUGUUUGACGGUCUAUGUUUGUUUCUAUGUAGGUGAAACAGUUACCUUCUCCAGUCUUAAAGGGGUAGCCUUGCGUAGGAAUGUGCCUUGUAUAGACUGUGUGUGCCUGGUGGCUUUGUUUGGCUAGAGCUGUAGUGGGCAUGGGCUGAGGGCACAUUCACAGGGCACAUUCCCUGUGGGAUGGUGGGAGCUGGGGUGAGUUCAGACCAGGUGGUUCAGGAGUGCUUGGUUCCAGUGCAGCCCUACUGGGACAGCAGGAGCUGGGUUGUCCUCAGGCUCUCUACCUUGGGCCUCUCCCUAGUGGGAUGGCUGAAAGAGCCUCUGGUAGGGCAGGUAUGGGUUGGGCUGCUCUGCGUAGGAAGUACCCUGACUGGCUGGCUGGAGCUGAAGCAGAUGCAGGCCCGGGGUGUCCCAGGGUGUUUCUUGCCUGGGCCACCUUGGUGAGAUAGCUAGGGCUGUAGUUGGUGCAGGCUGGGGUAGCACCUUGGUGGGACCGUUGGAAGUGAGGCAGGUGCAUGUGGUGGGGGACGCCUGGGGCUA